rnacentral:rRNA from 1 species
GGGUUGUGAGGUUAAGCGACUAAGCGUACACGGUGGAUGCCCUGGCAGUCAGAGGCGAUGAAGGACGUGCUAAUCUGCGAUAAGCGUCGGUAAGGUGAUAUGAACCGUUAUAACCGGCGAUUUCCGAAUGGGGAAACCCAGUGUGUUUCGACACACUAUCAUUAACUGAAUCCAUAGGUUAAUGAGGCGAACCGGGGGAACUGAAACAUCUAAGUACCCCGAGGAAAAGAAAUCAACCGAGAUUCCCCCAGUAGCGGCGAGCGAACGGGGAGCAGCCCAGAGCCUGAAUCAGUGUGUGUGUUAGUGGAAGCGUCUGGAAAGGCGCGCGAUACAGGGUGACAGCCCCGUACACAAAAAUGCACAUACUGUGAGCUCGAUGAGUAGGGCGGGACACGUGGUAUCCUGUCUGAAUAUGGGGGGACCAUCCUCCAAGGCUAAAUACUCCUGACUGACCGAUAGUGAACCAGUACCGUGAGGGAAAGGCGAAAAGAACCCCGGCGAGGGGAGUGAAAAAGAACCUGAAACCGUGUACGUACAAGCAGUGGGAGCACGCUUAGGCGUGUGACUGCGUACCUUUUGUAUAAUGGGUCAGCGACUUAUAUUCUGUAGCAAGGUUAACCGAAUAGGGGAGCCGAAGGGAAACCGAGUCUUAACUGGGCGUUAAGUUGCAGGGUAUAGACCCGAAACCCGGUGAUCUAGCCAUGGGCAGGUUGAAGGUUGGGUAACACUAACUGGAGGACCGAACCGACUAAUGUUGAAAAAUUAGCGGAUGACUUGUGGCUGGGGGUGAAAGGCCAAUCAAACCGGGAGAUAGCUGGUUCUCCCCGAAAGCUAUUUAGGUAGCGCCUCGUGAAUUCAUCUCCGGGGGUAGAGCACUGUUUCGGCAAGGGGGUCAUCCCGACUUACCAACCCGAUGCAAACUGCGAAUACCGGAGAAUGUUAUCACGGGAGACACACGGCGGGUGCUAACGUCCGUCGUGAAGAGGGAAACAACCCAGACCGCCAGCUAAGGUCCCAAAGUCAUGGUUAAGUGGGAAACGAUGUGGGAAGGCCCAGACAGCCAGGAUGUUGGCUUAGAAGCAGCCAUCAUUUAAAGAAAGCGUAAUAGCUCACUGGUCGAGUCGGCCUGCGCGGAAGAUGUAACGGGGCUAAACCAUGCACCGAAGCUGCGGCAGCGACGCUUAUGCGUUGUUGGGUAGGGGAGCGUUCUGUAAGCCUGCGAAGGUGUGCUGUGAGGCAUGCUGGAGGUAUCAGAAGUGCGAAUGCUGACAUAAGUAACGAUAAAGCGGGUGAAAAGCCCGCUCGCCGGAAGACCAAGGGUUCCUGUCCAACGUUAAUCGGGGCAGGGUGAGUCGACCCCUAAGGCGAGGCCGAAAGGCGUAGUCGAUGGGAAACAGGUUAAUAUUCCUGUACUUGGUGUUACUGCGAAGGGGGGACGGAGAAGGCUAUGUUGGCCGGGCGACGGUUGUCCCGGUUUAAGCGUGUAGGCUGGUUUUCCAGGCAAAUCCGGAAAAUCAAGGCUGAGGCGUGAUGACGAGGCACUACGGUGCUGAAGCAACAAAUGCCCUGCUUCCAGGAAAAGCCUCUAAGCAUCAGGUAACAUCAAAUCGUACCCCAAACCGACACAGGUGGUCAGGUAGAGAAUACCAAGGCGCUUGAGAGAACUCGGGUGAAGGAACUAGGCAAAAUGGUGCCGUAACUUCGGGAGAAGGCACGCUGAUAUGUAGGUGAAGUCCCUCGCGGAUGGAGCUGAAAUCAGUCGAAGAUACCAGCUGGCUGCAACUGUUUAUUAAAAACACAGCACUGUGCAAACACGAAAGUGGACGUAUACGGUGUGACGCCUGCCCGGUGCCGGAAGGUUAAUUGAUGGGGUUAGCGCAAGCGAAGCUCUUGAUCGAAGCCCCGGUAAACGGCGGCCGUAACUAUAACGGUCCUAAGGUAGCGAAAUUCCUUGUCGGGUAAGUUCCGACCUGCACGAAUGGCGUAAUGAUGGCCAGGCUGUCUCCACCCGAGACUCAGUGAAAUUGAACUCGCUGUGAAGAUGCAGUGUACCCGCGGCAAGACGGAAAGACCCCGUGAACCUUUACUAUAGCUUGACACUGAACAUUGAGCCUUGAUGUGUAGGAUAGGUGGGAGGCUUUGAAGUGUGGACGCCAGUCUGCAUGGAGCCGACCUUGAAAUACCACCCUUUAAUGUUUGAUGUUCUAACGUUGACCCGUAAUCCGGGUUGCGGACAGUGUCUGGUGGGUAGUUUGACUGGGGCGGUCUCCUCCUAAAGAGUAACGGAGGAGCACGAAGGUUGGCUAAUCCUGGUCGGACAUCAGGAGGUUAGUGCAAUGGCAUAAGCCAGCUUGACUGCGAGCGUGACGGCGCGAGCAGGUGCGAAAGCAGGUCAUAGUGAUCCGGUGGUUCUGAAUGGAAGGGCCAUCGCUCAACGGAUAAAAGGUACUCCGGGGAUAACAGGCUGAUACCGCCCAAGAGUUCAUAUCGACGGCGGUGUUUGGCACCUCGAUGUCGGCUCAUCACAUCCUGGGGCUGAAGUAGGUCCCAAGGGUAUGGCUGUUCGCCAUUUAAAGUGGUACGCGAGCUGGGUUUAGAACGUCGUGAGACAGUUCGGUCCCUAUCUGCCGUGGGCGCUGGAGAACUGAGGGGGGCUGCUCCUAGUACGAGAGGACCGGAGUGGACGCAUCACUGGUGUUCGGGUUGUCAUGCCAAUGGCACUGCCCGGUAGCUAAAUGCGGAAGAGAUAAGUGCUGAAAGCAUCUAAGCACGAAACUUGCCCCGAGAUGAGUUCUCCCUGACUCCUUGAGAGUCCUGAAGGAACGUUGAAGACGACGACGUUGAUAGGCCGGGUGUGUAAGCGCAGCGAUGCGUUGAGCUAACCGGUACUAAUGAACCGUGAGGCUUAACCUUACAACGCCGAAGGUGUUU